AGACCUCUUACACAGAUCUCUUCAUGUAUUGUUUGACCUAAAUAGUUGUAACAAUACAUUUACAGUUGGAAUUGACAAAUUUCAGCUUGAACUUAUCAACCUAACGAACAUUGAAUAUGGAAAGAUAUAUCACUUCAACAUGAAAGGAGUUGUACGUAUUGGAUAUUCCAUUGAUGAUUUAGCAGAAGAAAGGAAGUUUCGUGUUAACAUGAACAUAAGUGUUUGUUUCGAAUCCGAUGCACCAUGUUUGUAUGACAUAGUACUGUUUCAAGAUAGUUUGCUACCUAAAAUUAUGUGUGACUG